rnacentral:rRNA from 1 species
UUGAUCCUGGCUCAGGACGAACGCUGGCGGCGUGCCUAAUGCAUGCAAGUCGAACGCGGCCACCUUCGGGUGGCUGAGUGGCGCACGGCUGAGGAACACGUAGGUAACUUGCCCCGGUGUGGGGGACAACGGCCCGAAAGGGUCGCUAAUCCCGCAUACGCUCGAUACGAGGAAAGGCUUCGGUCGCACUGGGAGGGGCCUGCGGCCCAUCAGGUUGUUGGUGUGGUAAAAGCGCACCAAGCCGAUGACGGGUACCUGGUCUGAGAGGACGACCAGGCAGACUGGGACUGAGACACGGCCCAGACUCCUACGGGAGGCAGCAGCAAGGAAUUUUCCGCAAUGGGCGCAAGCCUGACGGAGCAACGCCGCGUGCCGGAUGACGGCCUUCGGGUUGUAAACGGCUUUUGCCGGGGACGAAGAGGACGGUACCCGGCGAAUAAGCCCCGGCUAACUCCGUGCCAGCAGCCGCGGUAAUACGGAGGGGGCAAGCGUUGUCCGGACUCACUGGGCGUAAAGCGUGCGUAGGCGGUGCGGUGCGUCGGCGCUGAAAGCGCCCCGCUUAACGGGGCGAGGUGCGGCGAUACGACCGGACUGGAGGGUGUCAGAGGUUGGUAGAAUUCCGGGUGUAGUGGUGAAAUGCGUAGAGAUCCGGAGGAAUGUCGGUGGCGAAAGCGGCCAACUGGGACACGCCUGACGCUGAGGCACGAAAGCGUGGGGAGCGAACCGGAUUAGAUACCCGGGUAGUCCACGCUGUAAACGAUGUCGGCUCGGUGGCUGGGUAUGCCUGAACAUACUUGGCUACCUCAGCUCACGCGGUAAGCCGACCGCCUGGGGACUACGAGCGCAAGCUUAAAGCUCAAAGGACUUGACGGGGGCCCGCACAAGCAGCGGAGCGUGUGGUUU